UCCUUAGUAACGGCGAGCGAAGUGGGAACCAGCCCAGGUCUGGAAUCUCCCGGUCGGCUCAAGACUUGGCCGGGCGAAUUGUGGUCUGGAGAGGCAGACUGUCCUGCUCCACCGCCUGCGAGCCCGAAGUUGACUUGGAACGGCACGCCAAAGAGGGUGAUAGCCCCGUAGGGCAUGGAAAUCGCUAGCGGCAGGACGAGGGUCUGUACUCGUAGAGUCGGGUUGUUUGGGAAUGCAGCCCAAAGUGGGUGGUAGACUCCAUCCAAGGCUAAAUACGGGCGCGAGACCGAUAGCUGACAAGUACCGUGAGGGAAAGGUGAAAAGCACUUUGAAGAGAGAGUUCAAUAGACCGUGAAACCGUUGGUAGGGAAGCUCAGGGUGUCGAGGUUGUCGUGCUUCAAUCGGGUUCAUCUGGUGGUGUCGCCGCUGCCGGUGCAUUUCCGGUUGAAGUUGGACCGUCAGUCGGGAAGAGACUGGGGUCUGCUUAUCGGCUACAGGGAGGUGGGCAGUGGGUUGGCCUCGGCCUCUCAUUGUCACAUAUAGCCUGUGGUCGUGGCCUCAGUUGUCUUUCAGGUGUGUUGGACGGCUAAUCGUCCAUAAUGGGUAGGUGCAGCCUCUCCUCGUGGGGGAUCGGGCCUGCCUCAUGGUUGCUGGAUGUUGUGAUGCGUGUGUUCCGUGCUUUCGCCGUUUGAUUCGUUCGGCGGUGUGGGGUACGGCACUGCCCGCAACAGUCUUGUCCCAUGUGGUAGUGUUCAUGUACUGUGCCAAGGUGACUGGCGAAGAGUCGUUACUCUGUGCCCCGUCUUGAAACACGGACCAAGGAGUGCAAGAGAUGCGCAAGUCAGAAGGGUUGUGUCAGGACUUGUCCUGCCUCAAAGACCCAGUACUGUAACGGGCGAAGUGAGAGCAAUUUCAUGGUGCGAGAGCCCCGGGGAAACCUGAGGCGCAUCGCUGGCCGAGCCGUUUGGUCACGCUGUGGCCGGUUUCGAGUGUGAGCGUAUCUGUUGCGACCCGAAAGAUGGUGAACUAUGCCUGAGGAGGGUGAAGCCAGAGGAAACUCUGGUGGAGGCCCGUAGCGGUUCUGACGUGCAAAUCGAUCGUCGCACUUGGGUAUAGGGCGAAAGACUA
rnacentral:rRNA from 1 species